GGUGUAGGCGGAACGGCAAGUACUUUGUGAAAGCCCCGGUCUCAACCCGGGAAUCGCUUGGUAGACUGCCGUUCUUGAGGCAGGCAGGGGGUCACUGGAACCUUAGGUGGAGCGGUGAAAUGCGUAGAGAUCUAAGGGAACGCCUGUGGCGAAAGCGGGUGACUGGGACUGUUCUGACGCUGAGACCCGAAAGCGUAGGGAGCAAACGGGAUUAGAUACCCCGGUAGUCUACGCCGUAAACGAUGCGCACUAGGUACGAGAGCUACUGACAGUUUUCGUGCCGGAACAAAAGCGAUAAGUGCGCCGCCUGGGGAGUACGGCCGCAAGGCUAAA
rnacentral:rRNA from 1 species